rnacentral:rRNA from 1 species
UGGCUCAGAACGAACGCUGGCGGCAGGCUUAACACAUGCAAGUCGAGCGGGCGUAGCAAUACGUCAGCGGCAGACGGGUGAGUAACGCGUGGGAACGUACCUUUUGGUUCGGAACAACACAGGGAAACUUGUGCUAAUACCGGAUAAGCCCUUACGGGGAAAGAUUUAUCGCCGAAAGAUCGGCCCGCGUCUGAUUAGCUAGUUGGUAGGGUAACGGCCUACCAAGGCGAGGAUCAGUAGCUGGUCUGAGAGGAUGAUCAGCCUCACUGGGACUGAUAUCACGGCCCAGAGACCUACGGGAGGCAG